AAAGGUUUGAGAGCUUGAGGCAGGAAAGUUCUCUUUUGCAUUUUAAAGUGUGUUGAAACUGAGUAGCCUGGGUGUUGGUCUCAUUCCACAAGUGGUCUUCAGGAAGGAAUCUACAUCUGAUCCAAACUAUGGAGAUAGAGGAGUCUACUCGGAGCUCUCCCAGGAAGGGGAUCAGUUUGACACAGCCAUAGUCAGAGUGCGGAUCCACAGCAGAACACCUUGGAGACUGGAUUAUGUGCUCAGAAACUCCCCUCUUACAUACUUUUUGGUACAAGCUGAGGCAUGGCUCAGGGAAGAUAGAAAGGCAACAGAGGAGUGAAAAUGGAAUGAAACAGUAGAGACAGGAGGCCAACAUGGAAUCCAGCAAGCUCUGGUUACUUCUGCUGCUUUUUGAGUCUGGGGAAUAUGACUUCUGGAAUCUUCCCCUACAAAACUCAUACCCCAAGAUCCUUCUGCAAACACAGCAGACUCCCCAUGACCCCAAACAUUAAAGGCCACA